AGAGUUUGAUCAUGGCUCAGAUUGAACGCUGGCGGAAUGCUUUACACAUGCAAGUCGAGCGGCAGCGCGGGGGCAACCCUGGCGGCGAGCGGCGAACGGGUGAGUAACAUAUCGGAACGUAUCCUGUAGUGGGGGAUAACGCAGCGAAAGCUGUGCUAAUACCGCAUACGAUCUACGGAUGAAAGUGGGGGACCGCAAGGCCUCACGUUAUAGGGGCGGCCGAUAUUCGAUUAGCUUGUUGGUGAGGUAAAGGCUCACCAAGG
rnacentral:rRNA from 1 species